ensembl:snRNA U6 U6 spliceosomal RNA
GCGCUUUCUUUGGCAGCACAUAUACUAAAAUCAGAACAACACAGAGAAGAUUCGCAUGGCUCCUGUGCAAGGAUAACACAAACGUCUGUGGAACAGUCUGUAUUAAA